GCUGGUAGUGGCCUUGGUCAACACGGAUGACCCGCCUUGUAAGCGGUAGGUCGUCGGUUCAAUCCCGACCACCGGCUCCA
rnacentral:tRNA from 1 species